GAUGAACGCUGGCGGCGUGCCUAAUACAUGCAAGUCGAGCGAACAGAUAAGGAGCUUGCUCCUUUGACGUUAGCGGCGGACGGGUGAGUAACACGUGGGUAACCUACCUAUAAGACUGGGAUAACUUCGGGAAACCGGAGCUAAUACCGGAUAACAUUUGGAACCGCAUGGUUCUAAAGUGAAAGAUGGUUUUGCUAUCACUUAUAGAUGGACCCGGGCCGUAUUAGCUAGUUGGUAAGGUAACGGCUUACCAAGGCGACGAUACGUAGCCGACCUGAGAGGGGGAUCGGCCACACGGGAACGGAGACACGGUCCAGACUCCUACGGGAGGCAGCAGUAGGGAAUCUUCCGCAAGGGGCGAAAGCCUGACGGAGCAACGCCGCGUGAGUGAUGAAGGGUUUCGGCUCGUAAAACUCUGUUAUUAGGGAAGAACAAAUGUGUAAGUAACUGUGCACGUCUUGACGGUACCUAAUCAGAAAGCCACGGCUAACUACGUG
rnacentral:rRNA from 1 species